ACAGAACGAGGGAAGACAUGGCGACGCUAGGCAACAACUUUUAAAUAGAGGAUGCGCCAUGCGGUUUUAAAUCACCUGUGGCGGCAUUUUGGAUUCCCCAUAUACACAAAUACAACCGGUGAGAAAUGGACAGACAAAACCAAAACAGCAUAUAAAUAUUGCAAGAGACUGCUAACAUAUACCAGCAACACAAGCCACAUGCAGCAGCAUAUUAGCCGCCACCACAGUGAGAAGCAAAAUAACGUUAUGCCACCUCCUGAGCAAAAAUUGCCGAAGGGGCAAACCACCCUGAUGAGAGGCUUUACAUCUCCUCUCCCCCAUAACAACGCAAUAGCGCAAGAAAUUACAAGGGCAAUUGGUUAAAUUAUGGGAAAAGAUUUGAGGCCAUUUUCCGUCGUUGAAAAUGAGGGCUUUUGGCUGUUGAUGAACAUGCUGGAGCCAAGAUACCACAUCCCAUCACGACAGCACUUCAGCCAGGUGAUGGUGCCAAAACUCUUUACACGAGAUUUGCAUCAUAUGUGCAAUUUCUGGCCUUUUGGCAACUGGUGGAGCCUGUUGUGAAAACGAAGAUGGUACGAAUCACCUCCACCAAUGCUGCAUCUAGUCGCACAGCCUGGGUCCGAACGUCACAGUUGUCGCUGUUUUUGAUGUAACACUCUGUGGGCCUACCUAUGAGGGACUUCUCAUUCAUUGCACCACAGUCAGCAGAAUAAUUACGACAUGGACACACUUCCUGUAUCAUCUGCUGGGUUCCAUCCACCUGUGGAUACCACCAGAAGUUGUGAAAGCCAACCUACCACCAGAAAUCAUCUCAUUUCCUGACACACAAGUGGUACCUGACUGGACAGCUUUUUUGUCAAGACACCUUCCUCUCUCCUUCUUCAGAGCAGAGUCUUUUCAAAGUACAAGUCUCACACCACCUUCAAAGCCAUGAUUAGCAUUGCACCCCACAGUCCCAUCACCUUUGUCUCCUCAUUGUAUGCUGGGUCAAUGUGCGACAAUGAGAUUUUCAAGCGAUCAGGUAGAGAUAUAAUUGUUUAUUUUUUACAAAUCUAUACAAUACUUGUACUGAUGCAAACACCUCCAAAUGUAGAGUUAUUAUUUUUUAUUUUUUACAAAUCUAUACAGAACUUACAUACAGAUUUCUGUGUAUGGAUGUGUUAAGCAGUUGUUCAGUGUGGCCUGCUUCCUGGUCAACUACCAGAUCGAACCACUGGUACACAAAGCACGGGCUCGAUGAAUUGAAUAUUUUUCCUUUUUCAGAAUCAUCCUAUCACCAUUUACACAAUACCAUAAUUUUGUUAUUGAGAAAAAGAAAUAACAUGAAAAUAUACAAUUUAAUAAGUAUAUAAUAUAUUAU